GGCGUUAUAGUGUAGCGGUCAUCACUCGAGAUUCUGAAUCAUCACGUGAUCUUCUCGAAACCCAGGUUCGAUCCCUGGUAACGCCU